CACUGACAUUAGAUACCCGCGUAGUCCAGGGUGUAAACGCUGCAGACUUGGUGUUGGAAGCCUUUGGGGCAUUCAGUGCCGGAGAGAAGUUGUUAAGUCUGCUACUUGGGAGUACGUCCGCAAGGAUGAAACUUAAAGGAAUUGGCGGGGGAGCACCGCAACGGGAGGAGCGUGCGGUUUAAUUGGAUUCAACACCGUAAACACACCAGGGAAGACUGUUACAUGAAGGCCGAGAUGAAGACUCUGCUAGAUUUCAG
rnacentral:rRNA from 1 species